rnacentral:rRNA from 1 species
AUUGAACGCUGGCGGCAGGCCUAACACAUGCAAGUCGAGCGGGGUUUUCGGACCUAGCGGCGGACGGGUGAGUAAUGCGUGGGAAGCUGCCCGAUAGAGGGGGAUACCAGUCGGAAACGACUGUUAAUACCGCAUAAUGUCUACGGACCAAAGUGUGGGACCUUCGGGCCACAUGCUAUCGGAUGCGCCUACGUGGGAUU